ACAAUUAUUCUAUAAGUAUCUGUUGUAUUAAAUGUUAUUGUGAUAGAUAAUACCUAAAUAGGCCUACUCUGUCUCACUAGACAGGGUGGCGGCGGGGGAGAAUCGCCCGUAAUAGAAGAGGCAGUCGGCGCCGCAUAUAACAUCAACCGAGCCAUUGGAGCUGUCGUUUUCAUGCAGUGGGCGCUCUCACAUUGCGGCGUGAGGGGCAAUGAAACGGCAGAUACCCUUGCAAGAGAAAGAGCUUUGGCAGCCACUCACCUCGAAGCACCAAGCAAAUUUUACAAGCAACGGCAGAAAUCCGAGCACUCAUUUAUGAGAAAUGGUUAAAGUCCUGGGGGAAUCCGACAGAACACGUAGUGUCUGGUAGCAUAUGCGUCACCCAGAUCGCGACGAUCCGUGGUGGCGGUUAAGAAGGUCAUUGUCCCGUUGGGGCAUACUUUGCCCGGUUCCGUCCGAACUACGAAUCCCGAUGCCGUCACUGUGGAGAGAGCGUCGAAACAGUGUCGCAUAUCUUGUACGAGUGUCCCCAGCUCCGAGAGCUAAGGGGGGACGUGUCAGAGCAGUCACUCGACUUGUAUGGUAGCUACGAGGCAUUACGCCGAACAGCCCAGUUUCUUGCCAGAGCACUACGGGAGAAUUGAGUCCUUCCUGCUCUGAUUUUUAAAUAGGAGUUCAUCUCAGGUCUCACUAGAAGUUAAUUUUCUUUGUAACACAAUUUUUUUUGUUAACGCCUCCUUGAAUAUUUUGAGGGAAAUUAUGCUAUUCAACCUAAACCUGUAUGUUGUUUAUGAUAACCCUACAGAAAUCUGUGAUUAUCAUUACUUCUUUAUUACCAUGCCUUUUUAUUCCCCAAAUUUAUAUUUUAUAAGCUAAUGAACAUUCAACUCCAUCAAGGAUGGUCCCAAACCUGGCUGAAAAAAAAGAAAGAGGGUUGGCCUACCCUGUUUAAAAACCAACAGCUACUUAAAAAAAAAAACAGCCAAAAAACAAUAGAUGUCAGGGAUGUGGGAGAAGGUGGACCCCCAGCUGGAAGGUGUGACCAUCACCAUCAUCUGUACAAGGAACGUUCAGACUUGGCAAACCUGCAUCCAACAUCUUGAAACAUGGCACCGAGUAUAAAAGUAGAUGCCAAGCAGAUGGCCAAGACUGUCAGAGAGACUCUCCUAGAACCAAAACACAUGGAGGAAGCUGACCUAUGCCCCAGACAGGACCACAUGGAGGAAGCUGACCUAUGCCCCAGACAGGACCACAUGGAGGAAGCUGACCUAUGCCUCAGACAGGACCACAUGGAGGAAGCUGACCUAUGCCCCAGACAGGACCACAUGGAGGAAGCUGACCUAUGCCCCAGACAGGACCACAUGGAGGAAGCUGACCUAUGCCCCAGACAGGACCACAUGGAGGAAGCUGACCUAUGCCCCAGACAGGACCACAUGGAGGAAGCUGACCUAUGCCCCAGACAGGACCACAUGCAGAGACGAGAUGGACGAAUGACUAACUAUUGCUCGCUCCAUUGUCAAUUUUGUUUAUUGUUGAAAUAAAUUUAAACAAAACAACACAAUUAAUUUAAUAACUUGCAGGCAGUCAAUUGCAAUGGCUAAUCAAAAUGUUUCAUCACAUUUCAUUAACUAUUUUUAGAUUCUGAUGCAAUAGUUCUUCAUAUAGCCAGAAAUUCUCACUUUAAAGGGCUCGUGGAUAUAUAGAAAUUUAAAGGAAUACCAGGAAAUAAGGGUCAUGCUUGGUAGAGUUAAUAAACAUUGAAAACAUAAUUGCACAACUUUUUUUUUUUGGUCUUGGUCAUCCUUUGAGUAUUAGAAGGUAAUCACUAUUCAUCCUAACUACCAUUUUUGUCUGAUUCUCACAACUGAUGAAUGCUUGAUUAACAUCACCAAAUGAAUAAAUGAAAUGCAUAAUUGAACCUUGACUAACACUGAUUAUUGUACACAAUUUAUUAAAAACUUUUGAUAGCAUACACAGCAAAAUUGAUCAUCACACAAUAUAUCAGUUUAAAAAGAAAUAGAGAGAAGGUAGAUGAAAAGGUUGGAUUUAUUAUUUUAGGCUUUAAUAUUUUAGCCCAACUGACUGUCUGGUUUGAUUCUACAUAAACAUUUGAGUAAGAGACUUACACAGGCACAUUUGUUGGUCUGGACAUACAGACGUUCAACAUCUUGCUCUGUGAUGGCUGGACUUCCUUCUGCCUCAUGCUUAUAUUCCAGGUGGAAUCUCCUUCUCAAAGCUGAAAUGAAAAGUGAACAAGGAAGUAUAAGUUGAUUCUAGGGUUACAGCAGAAUGAGAACUUAAGUGAUUCUGAGUUUGGGUUUAGAAGGAGCAGAUGAUGCACUAAUACAACUUUUGCUCUUUGGUCAAUGUGUGAAAAGAUCAGACGAUACAAAAAGGCAUCUAAUUUGAAAGAGAAACCAACACCAAGCUAUCUUCCAGACUUAGAGUGAUCCAAGAAUUAACAGUCACACACAAACAGGUUACAUUACUGUACUAGGAAUGAUCAAUAAGUCAGAAAACCCAGAAAUAUAAAGUGAAUAAAAUUCUUGAAUUUCAGUCAGUGCAGUGACCAUAUACACAUACACAUCAUGAUCCUGCACACUCUCUGAAUCUAAAGGAAUUCCAGGGAAGAAACCAUAAGCCAUGCCAUUAUUAAAAGCACAAUACAAUGGAGGAGCACAUCCAGCAGCACUCAACAAGCCAAAAGCUUCAAGCUCCUCUUCCCUG